rnacentral:rRNA from 1 species
GCCUGACGCAGCAACGCCGCGCUGGGGGAUGAAGGCCUUCGGGUUGUAAACCCCUUUCAGCAGGGACGAAACUGACGGUACCUGCAGAAGAAGCCCCGGCCAACUACCUGCCAGCAGCCGCGGUAAUACGUAGGGGGCGAGCGUUGUCCGGAUUUAUUGGGCGUAAAGAGCUCGUAAGCGGCUUGGCAAGUCGGGUGUGAAACCUCCAGGCUCAACCUGGAGACGCCACUCGAUACUGCCAUGGCUAGAGUCCGGUAGGGGACCACGGAAUUCCUGGUGUAGCGGUGAAAUGCGCAGAUAUCAGGAGGAACACCGGUGGCGAAGGCGGUGGUCUGGGCCGGCACUGACGCUGAGGAGCGAAAGCGUGGGUAGCAAACAGGAUUAAAUACCCUGGUAGUCCACGCCGUAAACGUUGGGCACUAGGUGUGGGGCCUUAUCAACGGGUUCCGUGCCGUACCUAACGCAUUAAGUGCCCCGCCUGGGGAGUACGGCCGCAAGGCUAAAACUCAAAUGAAUU